rnacentral:tRNA from 1 species
AUUUAAAUAGCUUAAAUUUAAAAGCUUAAUAUUGAAAAUAUUAAAAUGAUUGCUUAAUCUUUAAAUA